GCUGCGUUGGAUUGGAUCGUGUGUCAGCAUUCUCAGCAGAUCUCAGAGGAAAAUCAUCCCAUUCACAAUGCCAGCCUUUGAUGCUGAAUAACUUUCCUACAUAAUGAUCGAGGGGGAGAAAACAAAGCAAAAAAAUAUAUAUAAUAAAAUAAAUAGAUUCAAAGCUUUUCAGUCAUGAAGCGCUGGGGAUAAUGACGGCACUUUCGGUGUUUUUAUUUUACGCUUUGAUGUAAACAGCAGAAUUCAGAAGCCAUUAUGUUGUGUUUUUUAGCCUCAGGAGAUCAUUUAUCUGUCUGUGUUUGAUUUUAAAGAGCCCGUGGCUGUGGAACACCAGAGAGUGCUGGUACAACUACCCCUAUCAGCCGUUAACAGUGGAUCUACAUUACUACUAUAUACUGGAGCUCUCUUUCUACCUGUCGCUGCUCUUCUCGCAGUUCACAGACAUCAGAAGAAAGGAUUUUGUGCUGAUGUUCGUGCAUCACGUGUCCACCAUCUCUCUGCUCAGUUUCUCCUAUGUGAAUAAUAUGGCUCGAGUGGGAACGCUGGUCUUAUGUCUGCACGACGCUGCCGACGUCCUGCUCGAGG